UUGUGCUUACCUAGCAUCCACUACUGAGAGCAAAGUGCCUUUCGUCAAUUCGUCUUCUCUGGAUGCUCUUUCUUUAGAGAUACUACUUGCUGUCUUGCUCUUUGCCGUUGCCUGCGACAGCAAACAACCAGGGCCAAUACCCAUCAUUUCUUCAUAGGAGCCGUGAUUUGUGAAGUUUUGGCGUGUGGCACUUGCAAAAGGAAAGGAGAGAGGCAGCUGAAAAGGGGCAAUGGCGCUGUGCAAACUUGCAGCAUCCGUCAAUGCUGGCAGACGGUUCUGAAGAAGAGCACUGAUGCCGAGAAACACGGAAGGGGCGCGACACCGACUACGAGCUGAAGCUUUGAAACAGGAAUCAAUUGCACCUGAAGGCUUAAGUGAAUGACAACGUGCUGCACACUGUUGGGUCUUCGCUCCGAAGCUGCGGCCUAUGGUCUGUAGGGAUGAAAACGGUUUCGGAAUUUUUCGGUAUUUCGGAAACCAAUUUCGAAAUUUUUCGAUCGGAUUCACCGGUAACGGUAUUUUUCGAAAACGGAAUCGGUUUUCGGAAUUUUCUGUCGGAAUCGGUAUCGGAAUCGGAAUCGGCGUGUUGUUUUACCGACCGUUUCCUUCGGUUACCGGUUUUUGUCGGAAAUUACUGGAUUUGUGUCUCGGAAUUUUCCGGAAUUGUGUCUCGGAUUUUUUUUUCGGAAUUUUCCAGCAUGUGAUUUUUUCGCAUCGUCUGUACGUCUCUGGAUAAGGAUUACUUUUUUUGUAUUUUUUGGACGCCUUAAGAUUUUUUUAGGAUAGAUGGUGUUGGAAGGCAGUUGAGAUUAACAAUUUGGUCUCUCGAACGAAUCCACCCUUUUCUAAGCACAUGUUAUGUAUUAGUAAUAUAUAAUGAUAAAGAGCUGACAGCCUGUCUUUUCCACACACUAGAUUUUAGGAUUUUCCUGUGAUGAUGUAAAAAAACUCUUUAUGUGAGGAAAAAAUAUUUCAUGAGUAA